UACGUAGGGUGCAAGCGUUAAUCGGAAUUACUGGGCGUAAAGCGUGCGCAGGCGGUGAUGUAAGACAGAUGUGAAAUGCCCGGGCUUAACCUGGGAACUGCAUUUGUGACUGCAUGGCUAGAAUCUGGCAGAGGGGGGUAGAAUUCCACGUGUAGCAGUGAAAUGCGUAGAUAUCGUAAGGAAGACCAGUGGCGAAGGCGAAUCUCUGGACAGUUACUGACACUGAGGCACGAAGGCCAGGGGAGCAAACGGG
rnacentral:rRNA from 1 species